GGGCGUAAGGGCUCGCAGGCGGUUUCUUAAGUCUGAUGUGAAAGCCCCCGGCUCAACCGGGGAGGGUCAUUGGAAACUGGGGAACUUGAGUGCAGAAGAGGAGAGUGGAAUUCCACGUGUAGCGGUGAAAUGCGUAGAGAUGUGGAGGAACACCAGUGGCGAAGGCGACUCUCUGGUCUGUAACUGACGCUGAGGAGCGAAAGCGUGGGGAGCGAACAGGAUUAGAUACCCUGGUAGUCCACGCCGUAAACGAUGAGUGCUAAGUGUUAGGGGGUUUCCGCCCCUUAGUGCUGCAGCUAACGCAUUAAGCACUCCGCCUGGGGAGUACGGUCGCAAGACUGAAACUCAAAGGAAUUGACGGGGGCCCGCACAAGCGGUGGAGCAUGUGGUUUAAUUCGAAGCAACGCGAAGAACCUUACCAGGUCUUGACAUCCUCUGACAAUCCUAGAGAUAGGACGUCCCCUUCGGGGGCAGAGUGACAGGUGGUGCAUGGUUGUCGUCAGCUCGUGUCGUGAGAUGUUGGGUUAAGUCCCGCAACGAGCGCAACCCUUGAUCUUAGUUGCCAGCAUUCAGUUGGGCACUCUAAGGUGACUGCCGGUGACAAACCGGAGGAAGGUGGGGAUGACGUCAAAUCAUCAUGCCCCUUAUGACCUGGGCUACACACGUGCUACAAUGGACAGAACA
rnacentral:rRNA from 1 species